rnacentral:rRNA from 1 species
UACGGGGGGGGCAAGCGUUGUUCGGAAUUACUGGGCGUAAAGGGCUCGUAGGUGGCCAACUAAGUCAGACGUGAAAUCCCUCAGCUUAACUGGGGAACUGCGUCUGAUACUGGAUGGCUUGAGUUUGGGAGAGGGAUGCGGAAUUCCAGGUGUAGCGGUGAAAUGCGUAGAUAUCGGGAAGAACACCCGUGGCGAAGGCGGCUCUCUGGGACGGUACUGUCGCUGAGACGCGAAAGCGUGGGGAGCGAACAGG